rnacentral:rRNA from 1 species
GUUGACCUCGGAUCAGGUAGGAAUACCCGCUGAACUUAAGCAUAUCAAUAAGCGGAGGAAAAGAAACCAACAGGGAUUGCCUCAGUAACGGCGAGUGAAGCGGCAACAGCUCAAAUUUGAAAUCUGGCCCCAGGCCCGAGUUGUAAUUUGCAGAGGAUGCUUUUGGUGCGGUGCCUUCCAAGUUCCCUAGAACGGGACGCCAGAGAGGGUGAGAGCCCCGUACAGUUGGACACCAAGCCUUUGUAAAGCUCCUUCGACGAGUCGAGUAGUUUGGGAAUGCUGCUCAAAAUGGGAGGUAUAUUUCUUCUAAAGCUAAAUACCGGCCAGAGACCGAUAGCGCACAAGUAGAGUGAUCGAAAGAUGAAAAGCACUUUGAAAAGAGGGUUAAACAGCACGUGAAAUUGUUAAAAGGGAAGCGCUUGUGACCAGACUUGCGUCCGGUGAAUCACCCAGCUCUCGCGGCUGGGGCACUUCGCCGGCUCAGGCCAGCAUCAGCUCGCUGUCGGGGACAAAAGCUUCAGGAACGUAGCUCUCUUCGGGGAGUGUUAUAGCCUGUUGCACAAUA